GAUGAACGCUGGCGGCGUGCCUAAUACAUGCAAGUCGAGCGAACAGACGAGGAGCUUGCUCCUCUGACGUUAGCUGCGGACGGGUGAGUAACACGUGGAUAACCUACCUAUAAGACUUGGAUAACUUCGGGAAACCGGAGCUAAUACCGGAUAAUAUAUUGAACCGCAUGGUUCAAUAGUGAAAGACGGUUUUGCUGUCACUUAUAGAUGGAUCCGCGCCGCAUUAGCUAGUUGGUAAGGUAACGGCUUACCAAGGCGACGAUGCGUAGCCGACCUGAGAGGGUGAUCGGCCAAACUGGAACUGAGACACGGUCAAGACUCCUACGGGAGGCAGCAGUAGGGAAUCUUCCGCAAUGGGCGAAAGCCUGACGGAGCAACGCCGCGUGAGUGAUGAAGGUCUUCGGAUCGUAAAACUCUGUUAUUAGGGAAGAACAAAUGUGUAAGUAACUAUGCACGUCUUGACGGUACCUAAUCAGAAAGCCACGGCUAACUACGUG
rnacentral:rRNA from 1 species